ACCCGCUGAAUUUAAGCAUAUAAGUAAGUGGUGGAAAUUAAACCAACUGGGAUCUCUUCAGUAAUUGCGCAUGAACCAGGAUAUGCUUAGCUUGACAAAUGGAGCUGCUGGCUCUGAAUUGUAUUGUGGGAAUGUAUUACCAACAGAGGUGCAGGUGUCAGCCAUUUGAAAGAAAGCAUCAAUGAGGGUGAGAGUCCUGUUUGUCAUGUGCAGCCUUCUGUGCACGGUGUAUAUUUGCUGAGUCACACUCCUUGGCAUUGGAAUGCAAAGUGGGUGGUAAGUUUCAUGCAAAGGUAAAUAUGCAAUUGAGACUGAUAGCGCACAAGUACCAUGAGGGACAUAUGAAAAGGACUUUGAACAGAGAAUUAAAUGAGUUUGUAUUUGCUAAACACAAAGUAAACAGACUUGAUUUCCUCAGUGAGAUUGUAGUGCUUGCUUAACAAUGGGUUUUGGCUGCAAGUGCAAUAAUUCUUGCUUUGUGUGCCAGUUUUUAUGUGGACAUUUGAUUACCUUUGCACAUGAAUGGUAAUUUUCCUGCGGGGUGUGGAUUGCAUAUGCAUGUAAUGAUUUGCAUGUUUGUUAAAUGUGUCUGGUGUAUUUGUUUGUGUCCUUGUCCUUGAGGUUGCUUUCUCCCUUGGGCUUACAUGCCCUGGCACACACAUUCUGGCAAAAUGCUUCUGCUUGACCCGUCUUGAAACACGGUCCAAGG
rnacentral:rRNA from 1 species